AACGAACGCUGGCGGCAGGCUUAACACAUGCAAGUCGAGCGCCCCGCAAGGGGAGCGGCAGACGGGUGAGUAACGCGUGGGAACGUGCCUUUUGGUUCGGAACAACUCCGGGAAACUGGAGCUAAUACCGGAUAAGCCCUUCGGGGGAAAGAUUUAUCGCCAAAAGAUCGGCCCGCGUCUGAUUAGCUAGUUGGUGAGGUAAUGGCUCACCAAGGCGACGAUCAGUAGCUGGUCUGAGAGGAUGAUCAGCCACACUGGGACUGAGACACGGCCCAGACUCCUACGGGAGGCAGCAGUGGGGAAUAUUGGACAAUGGGGCGCAAGCCUGAUCCAGCCAUGCCGCGUGAGUGAUGAAGGCCUUAGGGUUGUAAAGCUCUUUUGUCCGGGAAGAUAAUGACUGUACCGGAAGAAUAAGCCCCGGCUAACUUCGUGCCAGCAGCCGCGGUAAU
rnacentral:rRNA from 1 species